rnacentral:lncRNA from 1 species
GGUUAUUAGAUAUACUUCAAGUAAAAAUUGCAAUCGUUAAACUUGAAAAAUUACACCAUGCUCUCCUGAAGAUUCUAUUGAAAUGAGCCCGGCUUCCAUUGAAAUGAGCCCGGCCUCUAUUGAAAUGAGCCCGGCUUCCAUUGAAAUGAGCCCGGCCUCUAUUGAAAUGAGCCCGGCUUCCAUUGAAAUGAGCCCGGCGUCUAUUGAAAUGAGCCCGGCUUCUUUAAAAGUUAGCCCGUUUCGUAAAAAAGUAUAGGCAAAUGCUAAACGGACAUAAUUUUAUUAAAAGGCAAUCAAAAAUAUAAGCAAUAGUUGGGCU